CUUCACAAACAUGUCCAUGAAAUAUUGUCUCGUUCCCUGUUGCAACUUAAGAUCUACGAGUCCCAAUAAGGAUCGCACAACCUUUAUACUAAUGAAACCGCAGUGUUUAAGUCCUCUGUAAUUGAGCGAAUCGCAUUCUGAUGCUGGUGAGCAGAGACCGACUUUGGUGAUGGUUACGGCGGGGGACACGUUUUAUGUUCUGCAAAAAAAGUGAAGAUUUCAACGCAGGAUGGAUACAAGGAGUGUUUUAUUGUCAUAUGUCCCAGAUAGCACAAUGCAAUUCUUACUUGCUGCAACACAACAGAAUGUGUAAACAUGGUACACUGUAAACAAUAUGAUGAACACCUGUGUACUGUUGCGGGGGG